rnacentral:misc_RNA from 1 species
AUAAUCUAAUAAUUUGUGUGAUUUGACUUGUUCCUUUUCUUGUAUAGAUACAGCUCUUAGGAAAUGAAAUUAGGUGAAUGUAAGUGCUACCCAUUGGGCUUCUUAGGGAUAUGCUUUUUUACGCUUUGUUGUUUGUUACUUGUAAUGAAAUGUAUCCUAAAUUUAAAUCUUAGAAGAGGAGACAUCUGCCAUAUUACUGAUUUGAUCCUCUCAAUCUUCUUUGUCCCUGAGAUUGAGUUUCAUUAUGUUUUGUUUUUGUUGUAAAAAACAUGGUAUUCGCCAUGUGCUUGACACUUCUUUUCUGCCACCAUUUUUAAGCUCAAGCUUUAACAGCUCUUAAAAAUGGUGGCAGAAAAGAAGUGUCAAG